CAUCAACAGGAGGGCGUAAAAGGCUGGGCUGAGGGACAAAGAUGAGCAGAUACUUGCAGCCUUCUGGAGUGACAUGAGGUUAUUCUGCAUUGACAGACACUGGAAGUCUUCUGAAGAGAAAUUGGUUCUGCUGCUCGAGUAACAAAAAGUGUUGCAGCCCAUGAAAAUGAGCUUCAAAGUGAGCUACUGAUUCUGGUACUGUGGGAGUUACAGGAGGAUCCUAAAAAGGUCAAGCCAUCUCCUACCCUCAGCAUGCAGGCAUGACAAAGAAUACGUGUGUGACACUCAGAGAUUCCUUCAGGGUCUCACCUCUUGCCACCAGUGGUGAUGCUGCUUACUGCUGCUUCUCAUCUUCUCUAAGCCUCCCUUGUCACUUCGUUCUUUCCCAGGCAGCACUUUUUGUGUGUCAAUUCAAUUAUUUCGACAGCCAUUGUGUGCCGUCCCCAGCUGAGCCCCCCAAGCUAUCCCUGCAAGCCCUUUCUGCUCUGGGACCUGUCACCCAGCAAGGGAUUCACAGCCAACUACUCAGCUGCAGCAUCUUCUGAAUACAUAAAAGAUCUUCUGUGAUAUCUUUGUAAUCACACUCUUCACGCCUUUCAGAAGCUUUGACUGUAAAAUACAGUGGAGCAGGUAUUUGCUUUUUGGCCAUUUUCCAGCUAAACUGCCUUCCACAAAUAGAAAUAUAACUGUUUACUUGUCUACAUGACUUUUUAAUUGAGAAGUUUUA